AAAAUGACGAUGAGAGGAAAUAGUACAGUUCCUGUUUCCGUUUUAGAGAGCUGUCGGUUGGUGAAAGACAGUAAUGGAAUAGGUUUGGAACUCUUCCUUGAGUAGCCGACCGAAAUUGUAAUAAAGUAGGCUCGGACGGAGCUUCCACCGUUAAAAGGAAGGGGAUAUCGGAACUUCGAUGUUCGAAGUUUGAUGCUCGUAGUUCGACUAAUAAAGUUAUUUUUAUAUUUAAGUCGAACCUCGCACAUCGCACCUCCAACUUCGCUCGGCUCCCGUAUCUGCAGAGAAGACGGCUAUUUUGCUGUCAACUUGAGUGGUACCGCGAACUAACCCUUCGUCUCAAUC
rnacentral:ncRNA from 1 species